rnacentral:rRNA from 1 species
CCUACGGGAGGCUGCAGUGGGGAAUAUUGGACAAUGGGGGCAACCCUGAUCCAGCCAUGCCGCGUGUGUGAAGAAGGCCCUCGGGUUGUAAAGCACUUUCAGUGAGGAAGAACGCCUGGUGGUUAAUACCCAUCAGGAAAGACAUCACUCACAGAAGAAGCACCGGCUAACUCCGUGCCAGCAGCCGCGGUAACACGGAGGGUGCGAGCGUUAAUCGGAAUUACUGGGCGUAAAGCGCGCGUAGGUGGCUUGAUAAGCCGGUUGUGAAAGCCCCGGGCUCAACCUGGGAACGGCAUCCGGAACUGUCAAGCUAGAGUGCAGGAGAGGAAGGUAGAAUUCCCGGUGUAGCGGUGAAAUGCGUAGAGAUCGGGAGGAAUACCAGUGGCGAAGGCGGCCUUCUGGACUGACACUGACACUGAGGUGCGAAAGCGUGGGUAGCAAACAGGAUUAGAUACCCCAGUAGUC